rnacentral:rRNA from 1 species
CCCUUAGACGUUCUGGGCCGCACGCGCGCUACACUGACCAGUGCAACAAGCAUCCGUCCUUGGCCGACAGGCUCGGGCAAUCUUUGAACGCUGGUCGUGAUGGGGAUAGACUUUUGCAAUUUUUGGUCUUCAACGAGGAAUUCCUAGUAAACGCAAGUCAUCAACUUGCAUUGAUUACGUCCCUGCCCUUUGUACACACCGCCCGUCGCACCUACCGAUUGAAUGGUCCGGUGAAGCCUCCGGAUUGGCGCGCACCUCGGUGCCGCCGAGAAGUUGGCUAAACCUUACCAUUUAGAGGAAGGUGAAGUUGUAACA